UAAAAUCCUUGAAGAAAUAUCUCCCUGACAAGUAACUGCCAUUGUUUUAAGCACUGUGAAAUGUGAUGUGGCUUAUAUCAGAAGCUAGGUGAGCUCUGUGCUGUUUUCUGCUUUUCUCCUCCUUCUGUUACAGAGUUGAAAUCAAUACUGGCUCUCUACAUAAAUUCCAUCCCCGUGCCCUAAAACAUGACCUUCCUUUUUAUGGAAACUCCUGCUCACACUACAUGUACCUGGAAAGACUAAGGUGUGAAGUCUGAAUAUACAUCAGUACUGUGGCCCUAUGCAAACUAGUUCAGGGAACUACGUCUGCUCCCCCGACAUCUGAUGGGUUUGGUGCAAACUCAGUUGUGCCUCAGGUGAAGGCCCUGCAGGACCUGGCCCCUUUGGUUAGGUGAUGUGAUGCCACAGGAAAGGAAGAGGGGAAAAUUUUAGAUGAAGUAAACUGAGGAGAACAGCACUGUCCUGUCCUGGAUCCUUACUGACUGUCAUUCUUUGGCGGCACCCAUCUGUACUGGGUGGAUCUGCUUGCUCCCCUCUGAGGAUCCCUUCCUUUCCUCCCCAUUGGCGUUGUUGGGGGAUUAAAGUAACAGCGGCCCCAUACACAAACGCAGCUGGUUCCGUUUGGUCAGCCUGAGCCUUGCUGUGAAACCAUGACAAGAAUUCCACUAGCGGGAUAAGAAGAAGACACCAGGCUCCUUGUGUUGCUGCUGUGCAGAUCAGCACCCCAGAGUUGAGGAGCAGGUUUCUGAAGGA
rnacentral:lncRNA from 1 species